rnacentral:rRNA from 1 species
GAUGAACGCUGGCGGCGUGCCUAAUACAUGCAAGUCGAGCGAACAGACGAGGAGCUUGCUCCUCUGACGUUAGCGGCGGACGGGUGAGUAACACGUGGAUAACCUACCUAUAAGACUGGGAUAACUUCGGGAAACCGGAGCUAAUACCGGAUAAUAUAUUGAACCGCAUGGUUCAAUAGUGAAAGACGGUUUUGCUGUCACUUAUAGAUGGAUCCGCGCUGCAUUAGCUAGUUGGUAAGGUAACGGCUUACCAAGGCAACGAUGCGUAGCCGACCUGAGAGGGUGAUCGGCCACACUGGAACUGAGACACGGUCCAGACUCCUACGGGAGGCAGCAGUAGGGAAUCUUCCGCAAUGGGCGAAAGCCUGACGGAGCAACGCCGCGUGAGUGAUGAAGGUCUUCGGAUCGUAAAACUCUGUUAUUAGGGAAGAACAUAUGUGUAAGUAACUGUGCACGUCUUGACGGUACCUAAUCAGAAAGCCACGGCUAACUACGUG